rnacentral:rRNA from 2 species
AGACAGGUGGUGCAUGGUUGUCGUCAGCUCGUGUCGUGAGAUGUUGGGUUAAGUCCCGCAACGAGCGCAACCCUUGAUCUUAGUUGCCAGCACUUCGGGUGGGCACUCUAAGGUGACUGCCGGUGACAAACCGGAGGAAGGUGGGGAUGACGUCAAAUCAUCAUGCCCCUUAUGACCUGGGCUACACACGUACUACAAUGGCCGGUACAACGGGCUGUGAAGCCGCGAGGUGGAACGAAUCCUAAAAAGCCGGUCUCAGUUCGGAUUGCAGGCUGCAACUCGCCUGCAUGAAGUCGGAAUUGCUAGUAAUCGCGGAUCAGCAUGCCGCGGUGAAUACGUUCCCGGGUCUUGUACACACCGCCCGUCACACCACGAGAGUUUAUAACACCCGAAGUCGGUGGGGUAACCGCAAGGAGCCAGCCGCCGAAGGUGGGAUAGAUGAUUGGGGUGAAGUCGUAACAAGGUAGCCGUAUCGGAAGGUGCGGCUGGAUCACCUCCUUUCUAUGGAGA